rnacentral:lncRNA from 1 species
CUCUGCUGGGUUCCAGUGGCAGAGGGAAACAACCCAACAGGACAGGCUAGGGUGGGCUCACGUUCCCUGAGACACAGCCAGAGCUAGGCAGUGGUGCAGAGCUCACACCCGCUGUGCAUUUACUGUGUCAGGUACUGGGCUAGGAUUAUACACACUGCCUCAUUUACUCCUAAAAAGAACCUUUUUAAGGUUCUUUCUAAAAAAGAAAAUGGGAAUGAUUCCCAUUUUCAGAUGAGAACACUGAGGUCUAGGAGGUUCCAAUGCUUUGCUCAAAGUCACAUGGCUAUUACCAGUUGGAGACACAAAAAAAGAAAGAGUGGCCAGUCGUAUCGGUCAAUGGUUGUCAUUCAAGCUUCAGGCACACAAAGGCAGUAAACUUUGAACAGUGGCCUUAACUCCACCUGAACUUCCCAAAAGGGCCUUUCGUCUGGGGAAAGUUGCUUUUGAAACUCUUGUGUUUUCUCUUCCAAGGUGAGAACAAAGCAUCAGAAAGGCACAAAUACUAAAAGCUUCCAGCCACUAAGAAAGAGGGAAGGGCAAAUACAUUCCUAAGUUACUAAUGUAAUAAAAGCAGAAGAGUUCUUCAAGAAUUCUAGGGGUAGUGAUGCAUGCCAGACAAGCCCAGCCCUGAGGAAUACUUAAAAGCGACUCGCGGAGCAUGCGCCUCAGAAGUGCCAUGCUUUCCACUGGGGAAUGGGAACUUGUAAGUUACUGUGGCUCUAUAUUAAUAAAAUUUAUACCCACACCAGGGCCCAAGUAAUCUUAUGUGCACAUUCCUGUCCCGGGCAGAAUUCCCAUUGUCCUUGGCUAAAUUAUUUACCUUC